UACGUAGGUGACCAGCGUUGUCCGGAUUUACUGGGCGUAAAGAGCGCGCAGGCGGUCGUUCAAGUCGAGUGUGAAAGCCCCCGGCUCAACUGGGGAGGGUCAUUCGAUACUGAUCGACUGGAAGGCAGGAGAGGGAAGCGGAAUUCCCGGUGUAGUGGUGAAAUGCGUAGAUAUCGGAAGGAACACCAGUGGCGAAAGCGGCUUCCUGGUCCAGCACCGACGUCAGGCACGAAAGCGUGGGGAGCAAACAGG
rnacentral:rRNA from 1 species